rnacentral:rRNA from 1 species
AUUGAACGCUGGCGGCAGGCUUUACACAUGCAAGUCGGACGAGUGGCGGACGGGUGAGUAAUGCCUCGGAACUUACCCAGUAGUGGGGGAUAACUCUUGGAAACGGUAGCUAAUACCGCAUACUAUUCGAGCGGCCGAGUUCGGAUUAGCUGGUUGGUGGGGUAACGGCUCACCAAGGCGACGAUCAGUAGCGGGUCUGAGAGGAUGAACAGCCACACUGGAACUGAGACACGGCCCAGACUCCUACGGGAGGCAGCAUUGGGGAAUAUUGCACAAUGGGCGCAAGCCUGAUCCAGCCAUGCCGCGUGUCUGAAGAAGGCCUUCGGGUUGUAAAGUACUUUAGGCAGGGAGGCGUUACCCGAAGAAUAAGCACCGGCUAACUACGUGCCAGCAGCCGCGGUAAUAC